rnacentral:rRNA from 1 species
GACAGAGGGUGCAAACGUUGUUCGGAAUUACUGGGCGUAAAGCGCGUGUAGGCGGCUAUGCAAGUCGGGCGUGAAAUCCCACGGCUCAACCGUGGAAGUGCACCCGAAACUGCGUAGCUAGAGUCCUGGAGAGGAAGGUGGAAUGCUUGGUGUAGAGGUGAAAUUCGUAGAUAUCAAGCGGAACACCGGUGGCGAAGGCGGCCUUCUGGACAGUGACUGACGCUGAGACGCGAAAGCGUGGGGAGCGAACAGG